rnacentral:rRNA from 1 species
CAGCCGCCGCGGUAAUACCGGCGGCCCGAGUGGCGGUCACUAUUAUUGGGCUUAAAGCGUCCGUAGCCGGGUUGGGAAGUCCUCCGGGAAAUCUGGCCGCUUAACGGUCAGAAUGCCGGAGGAUACUCCCAGCCUAGGGAGCGGGAGAGGCCGAGGGGAUUCCCGGAGUAGGGGUGAAAUCCUAUAAUCCCGGGAGGACCACCUGUGGCGAAGGCGCUCGGCUGGAACGCGUCCGACGGUGAGGGACGAAGGCCAAGGGAGCAAACCGGAUUAGAUACCCGGGUAGUCCUGGCUGUAAACGAUGCGGACUUUGUGUCGGACAAGCUAUGAGCUUGUCCGGUGCCGGAGGGAAACCGUUAAGUCCGCCGCCUGGGGAGUACGGCCGCAAGGCUGAAACUUAAAGGAAUUGGCGGG